GCCACAGGCUCGAGCUGGGGCGGGCCGUCGACCGGGAAGCACCGCCCCUGAAUGCUUAUGCUGGUGGGAGGGAGAGGAAAUGGAAUUCCCCGGACUGUCUAAUGUGGUAGAUACAGAGGAUUUGGCCAUUGGAGUGAGAGAAGAAAUCCAGAAGCCAAGGUACAAGGCAGGAAAUAUUCCUACCUACUCAGUGGGAACGCAUGAUAUCCGAGAGGUCCAUGAAGAAAAGUCCGAGAGAAGCUAAUUUGUACUACCCUAAUCUAAACAAACUUGGGUAUGAAAAUAUAAUGGACCAUGUUAAUGUUCUAAAUUAACAGAGCACAGCAGACUGGGACGAAUUUGUGGUCAGCUUUCUUAUCUUUUCUGAGCCACAAACUACUUUAGUGGUCUGGUGAAACCAUGGACUCUUACAUUUAUGCUUUUAAAUGUA